rnacentral:lncRNA from 1 species
AUAACGAGAAAAGAGGAGAUUGGCACCUGAGAUCAAAAAUCGAGUGAAGAAGAUGGCAAAUGGAAAUGAGAGAGAAAAUGAAAGGUGGGAGACAUAAUAAGAGAGCAAGAGAAACAGAGAAAGAAAGAAAAUUAGAACUAGAGCGAGCAAAAGUGUGAUAAUUAAUAGGCCUUACCCGCUGAUUUUCCUGCUCCACCCUGGGGGUAUCCUCCGGCUCCACCCUGGGGAUAUCCUCCCUGUCCCAGAUUAGCACCUGAGAGAUAGAUAGAGAGAGAGAGAGAGAGAGAGAGAGAGAGAGAGAGAGAGAGAGAGAGAGAGAGAGAGAGAGAAGAGAGCAAGAGUGAGGAAGAGGGCAAAUGAGAGUGAAAGAGAUCAAAUAGAAUAGAAAGAGAGAGAGAGUGAGAAGAAAGAAAGAGAGAAAUAAAGAAAAAAACAUGGCGACAAAGUAAAAGGCUCAUCACCACCAGCUUUGCCUGGUUUCCCUGCUCCACCCUGGGGGUAUCCUCCUGCUCCACCCUGGGGGUAUCCUCCUGCUCCACCCUGGGGGUAUCCUCCUGCUCCACCCUGGGGGUAUCCUCCUGCUCCACCCUGGGGGUAUACUCCUGCUCCACCCUGGGGGUAUCCUCCUGCUCCACCCUGGGGGUAUCCACCUGCUCCACCCUGGGGGUAUCCACCGGCUCCACCCUGUGGGUAUCCACCUGCUCCACCCUGGGGAUAUCCUCCAGCUCCACCCUGGGGAUAUCCUCCAGCUCCACCCUGGGGAUAUCCUCCAGCUCCUCCCUGAGGGUAUCCUCCCUUUCCAUUACCUGCUCCAUAGCCGUUGUUUCCUGCCCCAGGAUAGCUGCCAGCUCCAGCACCGUAGCCUGUGGAAUAAGUCAACAAAGCUCAGCACAAAACCCUGUGAUUGACUUGAGACUGAGCGACACGAUCCCUAAACUCAUCGCAUUGUGAUUGACCCUGUUACCUGUGGAGGAAAACAUACAGCGAGCACCCAUCACAUAAUACUGCUAUUGGCUCCUAGCCUGCAGAGCACAACAUCCAUGCACAUUACAUAUCACUGUGAUUAGGCCGUAGCCUGUGACACACAACAUCCAUGCACAUUACAUAUCACUGUGAUUAGGCCGUAGCCUGUGACACACAACAUCCAUGCACAUUACAUAUCACUGUGAUUAGGCCGUAGCCUGUGACACACAACAUCCAUGCACAUUACAUAUCACUGUGAUUAGGCCGUAGCCUGUGACACACAACAUCCAUGCACAUUACAUAUCACUGUGAUUAGGCCGUAGCCUGUGACACACAACAUCCAUGCUUACCACAUAACUGUGACCAAACAGAAAGAUAUGUUUACACAAAUCCAAGCCACAGUGAAGAUAAGACAAACCAACAACUCAGGUCAAAUUUCAAGUCAACCAUCCCUAAAGCGAUUCAUCAAAAGCUUCCAGUGUGCUUCUAGAACACGAACAUAGAGCCAACAAGACCGGUGCAUCAUUCAUAGAGGGUAUUAUCAUAUACAGUGCCUUCGGAAAGUAUUUAGACCCCUUGACUUUUUCCACAUUUUGUUACGUUACAGACUUAUUCUAAAAUUGAU